UGGAUGGACCCUGGAAAUGAGAGAUUGCAAACUAGCUUCUCAGCAAAGAAAAAGAGACGUAGGACAUCAGAAUGGGAGCUCCCAUAGGUAAAAACUUGUCAGUGCCUGGCAUACCAGAGGCAUGACGGAAUUUGCAAACUCAACUACCGCUUGAAGUCAAAAUCAACCCUUUGGGACACUGCCCAGUACUGCACUCAAGAAGCAAGCCCAGCCCAUUCUGGGCACGCUGUUGUAGUUGGUAUAAGCAGUUCAGGACACUGGACAGGGGUAAGCUGUUAUCCCAGGCCAAGGUUCUCCUCCUGUCAUCUGCUGCGUCAUAUUAAGACUCCCCUGAAUAACACUCUACAGUGUAAAUCAAGGAAAGAGAAGAGCCUGGAUCCCAUUUUCCACCUCAGCCUCCGACUUCUCCAGUGGCAUGCAUUUCCAUUCCCCAGCCUGCCUGACUGCCUCACUCGAGUUAAAACAAAGUGAUUUCACAUAUUAAUACAAUUAAACUUUCCUGCAGUGUCAGGAGUUUCAGCAUCACUGCAGAUCAGCACAGUUUCAUAUUUCUAGCUGUCUUAACUCAGAAUUCAAAACCACAAAAGGCUAUACCCCCG